rnacentral:lncRNA from 1 species
AUGCGGGAGACCUUGUUCAUGUACUUUGUACAACAUGCAGUGCUGAUCCUGGCCUGCCAUCAUGAGGAGCUUACGAUUAACGUCAUCCUCCAGAAGUUUGUGCCUAUGGACAGAAACACACUGGAGCUGUGGAGGACUCUGGGGAGAGACAGCAUUGGCAUCGGUGUGCUGAAGCGCUUAUCGAGGAAGCUGAAGAGAGUGGGAGACGACAGCUCCCAGCCCAGCUCGUCCAGUUGCAGGCUGCACACCCACCAGCUUUCAGUGGAGUCCUUGACUGUACGUUCAGUGGCAGAGGCUUUGCGUCUGCUCCCCCACUCCCAGUGCGAGGGCAAGGCGUUGUAUGCCCUUCGGAAGUGUAAGGGUUGCCCUUUGCAGCAUAAGUGCCCUUGGAGCUUGCACCCAAAGCCACAGAAAGCUGCAAGGCAUUCUGCCACUCCUGCCUGCUCAGCGGCUGCCAGGCAUCUCUGCAGAUCCCCCCUAAAAGUGUUCCAGCGAGCCUUCCGCUGUGCUGCCCAGGGCAGUCUUUACCAGCAUCGCUGGCAGGAGCAUCUCAGGCCUCUGGUCCCUUUUUCUGGCCACGCGCCUUCAUGCCUGCCUUUACUUCCCAGAGCUGGUGCUUCCCUGGAAGCUGGCAGUAGGGAGCAAGCCCAUGGAUCCAGCCACCAGGCAUCAGGAGUCUAUGCUGCAGAGCUUGUUCAUGUACUUCCUGCACCAUGUGGUGCUGAUCCUGGCCCGCUAUCACAAGCAGCUCACAAUUUUUGGAGUCUUUAUACACUUAAGGCUUAAUUUUUCUUGAUGGAUAACUUGGAUUAAAGUUAGGAAUGGAUUUGAAAAAUUACCCUAGAAUACUGUGUUUAUGUGCUACAGAAUUGCCACAAUGGCUUAUCUUAAACCAUUUUCAAAAAUGGACCAUAUUAAACCAGAUGUGGCACUUUUAUCCUGGAACAACAGUGUUCACAGAUGAAUUAUUUACAGACUGCUGUUCUGGAAAAGCUAUUCUUGAGUAAGUAUUCCUGAGAAACUCACAUAUAGACAAGAUUUUCUGCUGAUGUUCUUCAUAAUUCACUCAUCACUCACAAAAUUUAGUGUAACAGCAGUCAGGAAGCAGGGGUGAAAAGAACCACAAACCUCACUUGAUAUGCUAUGUGGGUUGUUCUUCUUGCAAGCAGCUUAGAUGUUCCGUUACGGCCAUUAAAAUUUUAUUAAAAUGCAUGAGAGACAUACAUUAUAAACCAGUAAAAAAAAAAUCAAUUGAUAUUCCAUAUCAAUUGAGAGUUAUUUAUGCACCUCUCCUCCCAGUCACACACACACACACUGAGAAAAAAGACCCCUCAAAAAUUAGUAAUUUAGGAAGGAAAGGAAAAUAUUUUCAUACUGUACUGAAAAAUUGAUUAAGCGGUUAAUUUUGGAUCUAGACCUUCUGCCUAGAAAUCCAGCCAGUUCCAAACAGUGCUGGCUUAGCUCCUUGACACUGUGGUGCUAAUAACUUUUCCUGACACUGCAUACUUUGAAGGCAAAAUGAAUGGCCUUCACACAAUAGCUCAAGGAAGAAUGAGAAUAACCCAUAAAUAUUUUAAGUGUAGUGAUAGUAAGGAAGAAUAACCUUUUAGAAUAAAUACAGUGGUGUGACUGGAGUGAAUAGGAAG